UACGUAGGGGGCAAGCGUUGUCCGGAAUCAUUGGGCGUAAAGCGCGUGUAGGCGGCUGAGUAAGUCUGACCGUCUGGAAAGCCCGGGGCUCAACCCGGGAGGCGGGUGGAUACUGCUCAGCUCGAGUCCGGAAGGAGGAGUGUGGAAUUCCUGGUGUAGCGGUGAAAUGCGCAGAUAAUCAGGAGGAACACCAAUGGCGAAGGCAGCACUCUGGGACGGUAACUG
rnacentral:rRNA from 1 species